AGCUUUGCGCAGUGGCAGUAUCAUAGCCAAUGAGGUUUAUCCAAGGCACGAUUAUUGCUAAUUGAAAAUAUACAAAAAUCAGUGCCAGGUGUUGUCAUAAAUGAGAAGUGAAUAAUGAACUUUUAGAAGACUGUAUGAAGA